CAGUCGCCACGGUAAAACAGAGGGUGCGAGCGUUAAUCGGAUUUACUGGGCGUAAAGCGUGCGUAGGCGGCUUCUUAAGUCGGAUGUGAAAUCCCUGAGCUUAACUUAGGAAUUGCAUUUGAUACUGGGAAGCUAGAGUAUGGGAGAGGAUGGUAGAAUUCCAGGUGUAGCGGUGAAAUGCGUAGAGAUCUGGAGGAAUACCGAUGGCGAAGGCAGCCAUCUGGCCUAAUACUGACGCUGAGGUACGAAAGCAUGGGGAGCAAACAGGAUUAGAUACCCCCGUAGUCCCUGUCUCUUAUAC
rnacentral:rRNA from 1 species